rnacentral:rRNA from 1 species
AAUGAACGCUAGCUACAGGCUUAACACAUGCAAGUCGAACGAGUGGCGGACGGGUGAGUAAUGUCUGGGAAACUGCCUGAUGGAGGGGGAUAACUACUGGAAACGGUAGCUAAUACCGCAUACCAUCGGAUGUGCCCAGAUGGGAUUAGCUGGUAGGUGGGGUAAAGGCUCACCUAGGCGACGAUCCCUAGCUGGUCUGAGAGGAUGACCAGCCACACUGGAACUGAGACACGGCCCAGACUCCUACGGGAGGCAGCAGUGGGGAAUAUUGCACAAUGGGCGCAAGCCUGAUGCAGCCAUGCCGCGUGUAUGAAGAAGGCCUUCGGGUUGUAAAGCACUUUCAGCGGGGAGGCGUUACCCGCAGAAGAAGCACCGACUAACUCCGUGCCAGCAGCCGCGGUAAUAC